CUAUAAUCGAUACAGAGUCUCAUCGAUCCAACAUUCUUUCUAACAAAAAGAACAGGAGCUCCCCACAGGGAUGUACACGGUUGGAUGUAACCUUUGUUUACCCAUUCCUAGAGUUGGAUCUUCAAUUCUCUCAACUCCGCUGGUGCCAUUCGAUAAGGUGCCAAGGAAAUAUGAUUUGUACUCGGGAGUAAAUCCAUAGUAAACUCAAUUUCCCUCGCAGCUGGCAACCCCGGUAAAUCAUUAGGAAACACAUCGAUGAAGUUCCUUACAAUUGACACCUCUUAUGGACGUAAAGAAGGUUCAUCCUUCACAACUACGUGGGUUGAAAACCCCACACAACCCUUAUUCAACAACCUAGUUGCCCGAAUGGUAGAAAUAAUACUAUUGGGGAGGACACGUCGCUCACCCAUAAUUGUAACUGAUGGAAGUCCUGGCCGAUUAAAUGUCACAAUUUUUUCCCAGCAUGCGACAUUUGCUCGGUGCUUAGAUAGCCAAUCCAUUCCUAGAAUGACGUCAAACUCCGCCAGUUUGAAAGGAAGUAAAUCAAUCUCUAAGUUUUCCCCUUCCACAAUAACUGGACAAUUCCGAUAUUGCCAUUGAGCACAAAACAAUUCACCACGUGGCAUUUGAAUCAACAUAUCAAAACCUAGUGGUGGAGGUUGAGAAGGUAUAACCGAAGCAAAAGAUGAAGAAACAACAGACUAUGUAGCACUCGGAUCAAUUAAAACUCUAGCCCAAGUAUUACAGACAGGUAACGUAUGGGGUGAUAACUCAAGGAUCCUGAUCAGCCUCCUACU
rnacentral:lncRNA from 1 species